rnacentral:rRNA from 1 species
AUUGAACGCUGGCGGCAGGCCUAACACAUGCAAGUCGAACGAGUGGCGGACGGGUGAGAAAUGUCUGGGACACUGCCUGAUGGAGGGGGAUAACUACUGGAAACGGUAGCUAAUACCGCAUACCAUCGGAUGUGCCCAGAUGGGAUUGGCUAGUAGGUGGGGUAACGGCGCACCUAGGCGACGAUCCGUAGCUGGUCUGAGAGGAUGACCAGCCACACUGGAACGUAGACCCGGUCCAGACUCCUACGGGAGGCAGCAGUGGGGAAUAGUGCACAAUGGGCGCAAGCCGGAUGCAGCCAUGCCGCGUGUAGGAAGAAGGCCUUCGGGUUGUAAAUUAUUUUCAGCGAGGAGGCGUUACUCGCAGAAGAAGCACCGGCUAACUCCGUGCCAGCAGCCGCGGUAAUAC